UAAUAAAAGAUGACAAAAUAGAUAAUCUAGGGGGCCUGACCACCGACAGAGAUGGCUACAUGGUGCUGAAGCUCCUCGGGAAUAUCUGUAUUUAUAGCAACAAGAUGGACUUUGCUGCUCUUUUUGUGGGCUUACUUACACUCUCACAACUGUGGAGAAUACCGCAGAGAUCCUGGCACAUUUGAGCCUGUAGACACAACCC